rnacentral:rRNA from 1 species
GAUGAACGCUGGCGGCGUGCCUAACACAUGCAAGUCGAACGGAAGGGCCCUACUUUUGUGGGGUUCUCGAUUGGCGAACGCGUGAGUAACACGUGUGUAUCCUGCCCUUGACUUUCGUAUAACUUCACGAAACUGGGGCUACUAUCGGAUAGGAUCUCCUGCUCCAUUGUGGGCGUUGGAUAGUUUCGGCGGUUGGGGAUGGACUGGCGGCUUACGGGCUUGUUGGUGGGGUAGUGGCUUACCAAGGCUUUGACGGAUAGCCGGCCUGAGAGGGUGACCGGCGACAUGGGGACUGAGGGACGGCGCAGAGGGGUAUGGGAGGCAGAGGGGGGGAGUAUGGCACAAUGAGCGGAAGUGGGUGAAGGAAGCGCUGCGGGCGGGAAGACGGUCUUCGGGGUAAAAACCGCUGUCGCCUGUGACGAAGCGGGAGUGACGGUAAUGGAUAAAGAAGCACCGGCUAACUACGUG